GCAGUUGGAGCAGUACUGGGCCA
rnacentral:siRNA from 1 species